UACGUAGGGGGCUAGCGUUGUCCGGAAUUAUUGGGCGUAAAGAGCUCGUAGGCGGCUUGUCACGUCGGGUGUGAAAGCCCGGGGCUUAACCCCGGGUCUGCAUUCGAUACGGGCUGGCUAGAGUGUGGUAGGGGAGAUCGGAAUUCCUGGUGUAGCGGUGAAAUGCGCAGAUAUCUGGAGGAACACCGGUGGCGAAGGCGGCAUCCUGGACCAAUACUGACGCUGAGAAGCGAAAGCCAGGGGAGCAAACGGG
rnacentral:rRNA from 1 species